rnacentral:tRNA from 1 species
UGCCCAGAUGGUGAAAUUGGUAGACACGCCAGCUUCAGGUGCUGGUGGCCGCAAGGCCGUGGAAGUUCGAGUCUUCUUCUGGGCACCAA